UGGGGCUGUGGCUUAGUGAUAGAGCACUUGCCUAGCAUGCAUGAGACCCUGGGUUCCAUUCCCAACACCACAA
rnacentral:tRNA from 1 species